rnacentral:rRNA from 1 species
GGGUUGUGAGGUUAAGUGACUAAGCGUACACGGUGGAUGCCCUGGCAGUCAGAGGCGAUGAAG